CGUAGGGUGCGGGGCGUUGUCCGGAAUUAUUGGGGCGUAAAGAGCUUGUAGGCGGUCUGUCACGUCUGCUGUGAAAAUCCGGGGCUCAACCCCGGACUUGCAGUGGGUACGGGCAGACUAGAGUGUGGUAGGGGAGACUGGAAUUCCUGGUGUAGCGGUGGAAUGCGCAGAUAUCAGGAGGAACACCGAUGGCGAAGGCAGGUCUCUGGGCCAUAACUGACGCUGAGAAGCGAAAGCAUGGGGAGCGAACAGGAUU
rnacentral:rRNA from 1 species